AAACACGGGCCAAAUUUGGCUUUCAAAUUAGUUUUUUGCAUUUUUCACACACAAACAAAUAUUAACACUAACUUUGGCCAGUGUUUGUGACCGAGUGGCUACUAAAAAAGACUGGACAUACUCCAGUAUUUGUAAUACCUUGGAUUGUCUACUUUUGCAAAUGGUAUGCCAUCAUGGGGGUAAUUCUCAUUCCUGGGCUUCCAUACGGUCUCAAAG